GUUUUGAAUUCACAUUCUGCAUUGAAAAAGCAAUGGAUAAUAGAAUGUAUUUGCAAAUUCUAUUGUUCCUUGCUUUUCCUAAGCGGGAUGGGGGAGCAGUCGUCGCA
rnacentral:ncRNA from 2 species